AAUUUAUUUCAACAUUCAUUCCUAAAAACAGUUUAUUUGCUUUUCCGCAGGAAAAUUUGCAUUCUCCCUGUUGUGGAAAUAGGUGGGGAUUUCGGGGCAGGCUGAAGAGGGAGCUAUUUUUUUCAGAGAUCUGCGCAUUCCCCCUGUGAGGGAGGCUGACAAGGACCAUGGAACUCAACCAUUGUACGCACAUGCAAAGCUCUUUCAAUUUCAUCAUCUCAUCCCACCAUCACAACGCUGGGAGAUCAGUUAGGUGCCACUCAGCCACCCGCGCUGGGAUUUGACUCAACCUAUUCCAGUGGUACCACCAACACCGGACAGCACUCACAGAGAAGCUAUUGCAGGUCUGAUGAAGCAGAGAUGAGACUCACAGAAGACAGCUGCUGCUUUGCCCUGUGACCGAGGUCCUCCGCAAUCAUUGCUGCUCUGCUUACAGAAUUAUUAUCAUGGUGAAAGGAAAGAGUGCUUUCCAAAGUGUGAAGAGUUAUGUAGUGAUUGUUUAUCCCUUCCAUGUGGGCUGGGAGUAGUCAGGGAGGGUCAAUUUGCUGUCCACAUUCAGCAUAAAAAUAGCUCCAAUGUGCUAAAAAUAUUUGUCAUCCACACAGAGAAAUCUGCAAGUCCUCACCACGGAGCCUUGAAAAGGAGGUCACAGAAAUAUCUGGAGCAAAGGACUUCCUCUCACUUGUCUCACCUAAUAGCAAUCUUAGAAUAAGGGUUUCUCACUGCUAGGCCAAGAUCUGGGUUUUUGCAUUUUUGCACCAGAUUUUGUUCUGUGUUCUGCUUACUCUGCUUAAAUGCAUGUGCAAAUGAGGCACUCAACAUCACUCCCCAUGAACCCAAGAUUCUUCUGGGCACGUUGGCACAUCAUCAUACCCAGGGGGACAGUUCGGACUCCUCUUGUCAGGUGUUGCUUAUUCGUCAUCAAAUUUGCCAGAGCCUCCCAGGUGCCAUUCCCACCCAAUGCUACCGUUCUGCACAGAGGUCCUGUUUGGUGCUGUGCCACUCUUGACCUUUUUCUCUCCUAGUAGUGGUUUAGUUUGUGAUGGGUUAAACAAUUCCUUUUUAAUAAUUGUAAAUGACUUCUAUUUAUAUUUGCUUUUUUGAAAGACAUUUUAGUUACUG